GAUUCAGACAGGUACCACCUUCUAUUUUUAAUACAAGCCAAGAGACGCAAACGUUAAAGACCAGUGCUGUCUCAAAUCCCCGGGUGUGAAUACUUCGUCUGUCACGACUGUCCCUGGGAAUCCACAGGAGGUGAACUGAAUAAGAUUAGACUAUUUACCCCAUCAACUCUCCAUCAAAGAAGGAUUUAAAACCGCACCUGAGAAUGAUUUGAAACGUAUUUACAGCGAAAGACUUGUAUAAGCGUUAAAAAAAAGAAUGCCAAAACUAAAUUCUCGCUUUGUUGAUACUUCGCAAUGUGUUUAAUUAGCUGCAUCGGU